rnacentral:rRNA from 1 species
UACGUAGGGGGCAAGCGUUGUCCGGAUUCAUUGGGCGUAAAGAGCGUGUAGGCGGCCAGGUAGGUCGGUUGUGAAAACUGGAGGCUCAACCUUCAGAGGUCGACCGAAACCAUCUGGCUAGAGUCCGGGAGAGGAGAGUGGAAUUCCUGGUGUAGCGGUGAAAUGCGCAGAUAUCAGGAAGAACACCCGUGGCGAAAGCGGCUCUCUGGACCAUUACUGACGCUGAGGCGCGAAAGCGUGGGGAGCAAACAGG